rnacentral:rRNA from 1 species
CCUACGGGAGGCAGCAGUGAGGAAUAUUGGUCAGUGGACGAGAGUCUGAACCAGCCAAGUAGCGUGAAGGAUGACUGCCCUAUGGGUUGUAAACUUCUUUUAUAUGGGAAUAAAACGUUCCACGUGUGGGAUUUUGUAUGUACCAUAUGAAUAAGGAUCGGCUAACUCCGUGCCAGCAGCCGCGGUAAUACGGAGGAUCCGAGCGUUAUCCGGAUUUAUUGGGUUUAAAGGGAGCGUAGGUGGAUUGUUAAGUCAGUUGUGAAAGUUUGCGGCUCAACCGUAAAAUUGCAGUUGAAACUGGCAGUCUUGAGUACAGUAGAGGUGGGCGGAAUUCGUGGUGUAGCGGUGAAAUGCUUAGAUAUCACGAAGAACUCCGAUUGCGAAGGCAGUUCACUGGACUGCAACUGACACUGAGGCUCGAAAGUGUGGGUAUCAAACAGGAUUAGAUACCCGAGUAGUC